rnacentral:rRNA from 1 species
UACGGAGGGUGCAAGCGUUAUCCGGAUUCACUGGGUUUAAAGGGUGCGUAGGCGGGUAUAUAAGUCAGUGGUGAAAGCUCCGGGCUUAACUUGGAACUGCCAUUGAUACUGUAUAUCUUGAAUGUCGUUGAGGUUAGCGGAAUGUUGCAUGUAGCGGUGAAAUGCUUAGAUAUGUUACAGAACACCAAUUGUGAAGACAGCUAACUAAGCGAUAAUUGACGCUGAGGCACGAAAGCGUGGGGAGCAAACAGG